rnacentral:rRNA from 1 species
AACGCACCUUGCGCUCUUUGGUAUUCCGAAGAGCAUGCCUGUUUGAGUGUCAUGGAAUUCUCAAAAACAUAAAUAAAAGAAAAGCUUUUACCGGCAGAUUGUUUUGUUUUGUUUUUGGACUUGGAGGUUGUGUCGGCUACUAGCUUUAGUAAGACUCCUCUGAGACGCAUUAGUAUGAACCUUACGGAUCACUUAUCAGUGUGAUAAUUAUCUACGCUGUGGCUUGCUUGGAUCUUAUAAAUUUCAUGCUUCAAACCGUCUGCAUUAGUGGACAAUUUAUUUGACAAUCUGACCUCAAAUCAGGUAGGACUACCCGCUGAACUUAA